rnacentral:rRNA from 1 species
UACGGAGGGGGCUAGCGUUGUUCGGAAUUACUGGGCGUAAAGCGCACGUAGGCGGAUGCUUAAGUCAGGGGUGAAAUCCCGGGGCUCAACCCCGGAACGGCCUUUGAUACUGGGUGUCUGGAGGUCGGGAGAGGCGAGUGGAAUUCCGAGUGUAGAGGUGAAAUUCGUAGAUAUUCGGAGGAACACCAGUGGCGAAGGCGGCUCGCUGGCCCGAUACUGACGCUGAGGUGCGAAAGCGUGGGGAGCAAACAG